AGAGACGAGUCAGAGUUUGAUCCUGGCUCAGGACGAACGCUGGCGGCGUGCCUAAUACAUGCAAGUAGAACGCUGAAGGAAGGAGCUUGCUCUUUCCGGAUGAGUUGCGAACGGGUGAGUAACGCGUAGGUAACCUGCCUGGUAGCGGGGGAUAACUAUUGGAAACGAUAGCUAAUACCGCAUAACAGUAGAUAUCGCAUGAUAGCUGCUUGAAAGGUGCAAAUGCACCACUACCAGAUGGACCUGCGUUGUAUUAGCUAGUUGGUGAGGUAACGGCUCACCAAGGCAACGAUACAUAGCCGACCUGAGAGGGUGAUCGGCCACACUGGGACUGAGACACGGCCCAG
rnacentral:rRNA from 1 species